rnacentral:rRNA from 1 species
UACGAAGGUCCCGAGCGUUGUUCGGAAUCACUGGGCGUAAAGGGAGCGUAGGCGGCGCGGUAAGUCAGAUGUGAAAUCCCGGGGCUCAACCCCGGAACUGCAUCCGAUACUGCCGUGCUAGAGGAUUGGAGAGGUAGCUGGAAUUCUUGGUGUGGCAGUGAAAUGCGCAGAUAUCAGGAGGAACACCGAUGGCGAAGGCAGGUCUCUGGGCCACUACUGACGCUGAGAAGCGAAAGCAUGGGGAGCGAACAGG